UUUAAUAUAUUUAAAAAAUUGACUAACUUAAUUCGUAAAAACUUUAAUGGAUUGUCGAAAAGUCGUGACCUUAUAUCCCUCCGUCGUUUACCAUUUGGAAGAAAAAAAAAACAUUCGUAAGUCACCAUUCAAAACUUAUCAUCGAUGCUAUCUAUCCCUUACAAUUCAGUUUCGCUAUAUUUGCUUGCACACAUAAGCUUUAUUGCAC
rnacentral:lncRNA from 1 species